rnacentral:rRNA from 1 species
UACGUAGGUGGCAAGCGUUGUCCGGAAUUAUUGGGCGUAAAGCGCGCGCAGGCGGUCCUUUAAGUCUGAUGUGAAAGCCCACGGCUCAACCGUGGAGGGUCAUUGGAAACUGGGGGACUUGAGUGCAGAAGAGGAAAGCGGAAUUCCACGUGUAGCGGUGAAAUGCGUAGAGAUGUGGAGGAACACCAGUGGCGAAGGCGGCUUUCUGGUCUGUAACUGACGCUGAGACGCGAAAGCGUGGGGAGCAAACAGG